GUAGCUUGAACGAUAUUUGAACGAUAAUUUGAACGAUACAGAGAAGAUUAGCAUGGCCCCUGUGCAAGGAUGAAAUGCAAAAUUAGAACUAGUUAGCAAAAAAUU